rnacentral:lncRNA from 1 species
GCUCAUCCUGACCGCCUCCUGGUUUCUGUUCUGUAAGGAGAGCCACUUAGCAGUGCUAGCCACUGGUAAGCGCGCCAGUAUUGUACUUGUUAUGGUGAUCCGGGAUCUGUGGUUAUGGUUCUCUGGAAGCUCGGAUGAUGGUCAGUAAUUUUUUUAUUUUUUUG